CCGUUCGUUGCUAUUCAGCCACCGCCACGCCUUGUCGUCGCCGGAGUUACCAUCGCCGCGUGCCACCGCCGCUUCUCACUGCCGAGGGGAAGCCUUGUCUACGUUGCUGCCUUAGUCGCCGGACUAUGGAUUACUGUUUUAGUCGUUGCUGGUUUACCGUUCGAAAAGGCAUAAUUGAUGCUGAGAUCGUUGUUGUUCUUGCUCCGAGAGAACUGAUGUCACUGUCGCUGCUGUUGGUUCUGAAUCCUAUUACAUUGAUUCUGAGCUAUGUUUGCUUUUGAUUCUUAUCCAAUUCGAAUCCUUGUCUUGCUGCAACCAUCGUCACUGCCAUAAGAGAUUGACAAUGCUGCUGCUUUAGUUACGUGCUUGUUGCUGCCAUAAAAAUUAAAAGAAAAGGGAGUUACCACGUUUAAUCUAUGUGAAUUCAACUAAUCGAGCUUUACCUUUUCAGGAACCAGAUGAAGAAGCAUUAAGAAGAGUUAUACUACGUUUGG